CCUACGGGUGGCAGCAGUGGGGGAUAUUGCACAAUGGGGGAAACCCUGAUGCAGCGACGCCGCGUGUGGGAAGACGGUCUUCUGGAUUGUAAACCACUGUCCCCAGGGACGAAAAUGACGGUACCUGUGGAGGCAGCUCCGGCUAACUACGUGCCAGCAGCCGCGGUAAUACGUAGGGAGCAAGCGUUGUCCGGAAUUACUGGGUGUAAAGGGAGCGUAGGCGGGGAUGCAAGUUGGGUGUCAAAACUACCGGCUCAACCGAUAGUCGCCCUCAAAACUGCAGCUCUUGAGUGAAGUAGAGGCAGGCGGAAUUCCUAGUGUAGCGGUGAAAUGCGUAGAUAUUAGGAGGAACACCAGUGGCGAAGGCGGCCUGCUGGGCUUUUACUGACGCUGAGGCUCGAAAGUGUGGGGAGCAAACAGGAUUAGAUACCCUGGUAGUC
rnacentral:rRNA from 1 species